GGCGGGGACUCUAGCAAGACUGCCGGUGCAAACCGUGAGGAAGGUGGGGAUGACGUCAAAUCAUCACGGCCCUUACGUCCUGGGCUACACACGUGCUACAAUGGCAAGUACAGAAAGCAGCUACCUGGCAACAGGAUGCGAAUCUCCAAAGCUUGUCUCAGUUCGGAUUGGAGUCUGCAACUCGACUCUAUGAAGCUGGAAUCGCUAGUAAUCGGAUAUCAGCCAUGAUCCGGUGAAUACGUUCCCGGGCCUUGUACACACCGCCCGUCAAGCCAUGGAAGCUGGGGGUACCUGAAGUCGGUGACCGCAAGGAGCUGCCUAGGGUAAAACUAGUAACUAGGGCUAAGUCGUAACAAGGUAGCCGUACCGGAAGGUGCGGCUGGAACACCUCCUUUCUAGA
rnacentral:rRNA from 1 species